rnacentral:rRNA from 1 species
AGAGUUUGAUCCUGGCUCAGGAUGAACGCUAGCGGGAGGCCUAACACAUGCAAGUCGAACGGGAUUGAGAGCUUGCUCUCAUGAGAGUGGCGCACGGGUGAGUAACGCGUAUGCAACCUACCUAUAACUGAGGGAUAGCCCAUAGAAAUGUGGAUUAAUACCUCAUAGUUCUAUUAAGCCGCAUGGUUUGAUAGAUAAAACUCCGGUGGUUAUAGAUGGGCAUGCGUGACAUUAGCUAGUUGGUAAGGUAACGGCUUACCAAGGCUACGAUGUCUAGGGGUUCUGAGAGGAUGAUCCCCCACACUGGUACUGAGACACGGACCAGACUCCUACGGGAGGCAGCAGUGAGGAAUAUUGGUCAAUGGGCGCAAGCCUGAACCAGCCAUCCCGCGUGCAGGAUGACGGCCCUAUGGGUUGUAAACUGCUUUUAUACACCAAGAAAAAUCAGGACGUGUCCUGACUCGACGGUAGUGUAUGAAUAAGCAUCGGCUAACUCCGUGCCAGCAGCCGCGGUAAUACGGAGGAUGCAAGCGUUAUCCGGAUUCAUUGGGUUUAAAGGGUGCGUAGGCGGCUUUUUAAGUCAGUGGUGAAAUCUUGCCGCUUAACGGUAAAAUUGCCAUUGAUACUGAAAAGCUUGAGUACAGUUGAGGUAAGCGGAAUGUGUAGUGUAGCGGUGAAAUGCUUAGAUAUUACACAGAACACCGAUUGCGAAGGCAGCUUACUAAACUGUCACUGACGCUGAUGCACGAAAGCGUGGGGAGCGAACAGGAUUAGAUACCCUGGUAGUCCACGCCGUAAACGAUGCUCACUCGCUGUAUGCGAUACACAGUAUGCGGCCAAGCGAAAGCAUUAAGUGAGCCACCUGGGGAGUACGAUCGCAAGGUUGAAACUCAAAGGAAUUGACGGAA